AGAGCUCACACCCUCGUUUGGGGGUCCUUAAGCCUUUGGUGUUCCCUGACCCCAGCCCUUUCAUAUUACCGGCCUCUUGUUUCUUGUGCCAGAGCUGGGUGGGAACUGUCAGGCAUCAUCCAAAAUACCAACAAGGAAACUCGGCUAGCGGUCAUUCAUUCAUUCCUAAAUUGUAGUGGCUCACUGUACAGAUGAGGAAACUGAGGCCCAGACAGGAAGGGACUUCUCCCUGAUUCUCAGGGACAGUCUGGCUCUACUGACCUCUGGGCCCAGCUCUUUCACAGCAGCCAGUUUAUAAAGACUGCGGGACAUUCCACACUAAAAAUCUGGUUUCAAACGCAAUUCACAUCCUUUGGUGUUCACCUAACUGCUGAAUACUCGUGUGAUUUCCCAGCUCAUUGAAAGUCCCCCUAGGUAAUGUUGCCCAGAUCAGGAACCACAUCUCUGUUCCGAAUCCCACAUUCACUCCAGCAAUGGGGAAGCUAUGGCUAAAUGUAAAUAAGCACUGGUCUUUUGGAUGGUGGGGUUACAAAUGGUUCUUGUUUUCUUUUCUAAAAUCAUCUGGUUUUAUUCUUUUUUCUUUCUCUAGCACAAAUAUAUUGUUUGAAUAACAUAAAGUAUGUCUACAUACUACUUGAACAUUUUAAAAAAUAUAUUUUGUAAAAAGGAAAAGGAGUCCAUGUUAAUUUAUGAUCUCC
rnacentral:lncRNA from 1 species